ACCACAGGCCUCGGGGAAAUCGAGAUUGUAUUUCAGCCUACACCUUGGAAACUUUAUGUCCAACCAUAGCUAUACAUCUGCAGUCCAGAGAUAACUACCACUCGAAUUCUGCUGAGGCAAUCUACUCACUAUCUAAUGAGGCACAGACAGACAAGAAGAUAGAAGACGGAAUCAAGACAGUCAAGCAUGGACUUUAGAAGCUGUCUCUGUCCAAUGGCACCUUUCCAGAGUCAGAAUCACAGAAUCAUUUAAGAGUUUGACCAACUUCCACUAGACAUUUUGAGGAUCUGAGUGCUUCAUUGCUUUCUUUACUGAGGCAGAAAAAAAAGAACACAAGGAUGCAGUACAGCCUGAUGCACGAAUCACUGGACUAGGGAUUAAGAGACAUGGAUAUGACCUUCAGCUCCACCACUAUCCUACUGAGCAACCUUGA